rnacentral:rRNA from 1 species
CGGAGGUGCAAGCGUUAAUCGGAAUUACUGGCGUAAAGCGCACGCAGGCGGUUUGUUAAGUCAGAUGUGAAACUCCCCGGGCUCAACCGUGGGAACUGCAUUUAGAAACUGGCAAGCUAGAGUCUCGUAGAGGGGGUAGAAUUCCAGGUGUAGCGGUGAAAUGCGUAGAGAUCUGGAGGAAUACCGGUGGCGAAGGCGGCCCCCUGGACGAAGACUGACGCUCAGGUGCGAAAGACGUGGGGAGGCAAACAGGAUU